CCCUUAGAUGUUCUGGGCCGCACACGCGCUACACUGAAGGAGGCAGCGUGUACUCCUGAUCGAAAGAUUUGGGUAACCCGCGAAUCUCCUUCGUGCUAGGGAUUGAGGUUUGCAAUUAUCCUUCAUGAACGAGGAAUUCCCAGUAAGUGCAAGUCAUAAGCUUGCGCUGACUACGUCCCUGCCCUUUGUACACACCGCCCGUCGCUACUACCGAUUGAAUGAUUUAGUGAGGACUUCGGACUGGGACCGAUGCGGCUUUCGGGCUGCGUCGGUAUUCUGGAAAGAUGUCCAAACUGUAUCAUUUAGAGGAAGUAAAAGUCGUAACA
rnacentral:rRNA from 1 species